CUUUAUUGGAGAGUUUGAUCCUGGCUCAGGACGAACGCUGGCGGCAUGCCUAAUACAUGCAAGUCGAGCGGACUUGAAGAGAAGCUUGCUUCUCGGAUAGUUAGCGGCGGACGGGUGAGUAACACGUAGGCAACCUGCCCUCAAGUUUGGGACAACUACCGGAAACGGUAGCUAAUACCGAAUAGUUGUUUUCUUCUCCUGAAGAGAACUGGAAAGACGGAGUAAUCUGUCACUUGGGGAUGGGCCUGCGGCGCAUUAGCUAGUUGGUGGGGUAACGGCUCACCAAGGCGACGAUGCGUAGCCGACCUGAGAGGGUGAUCGGCCACACUGGGACUGAG
rnacentral:rRNA from 1 species